rnacentral:rRNA from 1 species
GACGAACGCUGGCGGCGUGCCUAACACAUGCAAGUCGUACGGGACUCAGGGGCAACUCUGGGUUCAGUGGCGGACGGGUGCGUAACACGUGAGCAACCUGCCCUGCGGUGGGGGAUAGCCGGCCCAACGGCCGGGUAAUACCGCGUACGUCGCUGGAGUCGCAUGGCUCUGGCGGGAAAGCGGCCGCAAGGUCGCGCCGCGGGAGGGGCUCGCGGCCUAUCAGCUUGUUGGUGAGGUCACGGCUCACCAAGGCUAUGACGGGUAGCUGGUCUGAGAG